rnacentral:siRNA from 1 species
GCACCAAUAACCUACUUGUGGGCU